GAGUUUGCUCAUCAGUGGGGCUACGAGCUGAGUGCGCCAUGUCACUCUAGUGCGUCCCCUGGGAAGGUCUGAGACUAGGGCCAAGGGCGGCCCUAAGUGGGCCCUCCCUGAGCACGGGGAGGUGAGUUCCUAGAGAGCGGGGCUCCCUGCGAGGGCAGACCGGCCGGAGCAGAGUUUGCUCGGCGGCUCGUCCAUUUUCCCGUAACGGCAGAGGAACGUGCAUGCAAACCUGGUGAGUUUCAGUUAAAGCAGCCACCAGCAGAGGUGAAUAUUCUUUUUGGAAUUCUGCUUUAUGUAAACAUUUCAUGUGCUUUCACUCCUGCUCACUGCACACUCAUGCGUACACGAGUACAAGCAUGUGCUCCCCCUACCCUCAACCUUCAGUCACUC
rnacentral:lncRNA from 1 species